rnacentral:rRNA from 1 species
UGGGCCUUUUUUAGCGUUACCUUUUUUUUUUUUUUUAUUAUAUAAUCUUCAAUGCGUGAAUGUUCGGAUUGCGGCGACGUGGGCGGUCCGCUGCCUGCGACGUUGUGAGAAGUCCACUGAACCUUAUCAUUUAGAGGAAGGAGAAGUCGUAACAAGGUUUCCGUAGGUGAACCUGCGGAAGGAUCAUUGUCGAUGCCUUACAUGCAGACCAACACGUGAAUCAGUUUGAACACAUAUGGUUGGUUUGAGGUGUUCGACACCUCGGCUUGCCUCUGGUUCGGAGGUGGACGACGAAGUGCGUUCUCCUUUGUGCCAAAACACAAACCCCGGCGCUGAAUGCGUCAAGGAAUUUUAAAUUUGCUCUUAGCGCACCUGCUUGGCACCGGAGACGGUUUUCAUGCGGGUUGUGUUAUGACACAUAAUAUAGAAUGACUCUCGGCAACGGAUAUCUAGGCUCUUGCAUCGAUGAAGAACGUAGCGAAAUGCGAUACUUGGUGUGAAUUGCAGAAUCCCGUGAACCAUCGAGUCUUUGAACGCAAGUUGCGCCCGAUGCCAUUAGGUUGAGGGCACGUCUGCCUGGGCGUCACAUAUCGAAGCCUCUUGCCAAUUUCCUUUUGAUAGGUGUUGUGCGUGGGGAAAGUUGGCCUCCCGUGAGCUCCAUUGUCUCAUGGUUGGUUGAAAAUCGAGACCUUGGUAGGGUGUGCCAUGAUAGAUGGUGGCUGUGUCACGCACGAGACCAAAUCAUGUGCUGCUCUAUUGAAUUUAGCCUCUUUUACCCACAUGCGUUUCUAAACGCUCGUGAUGAGACCUCAGGUCAGGCGGGGCUACCCGCUGAAUUUAAGCAUAUCAAUAAGCGGAGGAAAAGAAACUAACAAGGAUUCCCUUAGUAACGGCGACGACGGGGGGAAUAUAUUAUAAAAAAAACCUAGAUUGGCCGCGUGGGUAAG